rnacentral:rRNA from 1 species
AUCCUACGGGACGCAGCAGUGGGGAAUCUUGCGCAAUGGGCGGAAGCCUGACGCAGCGACGCCGCGUGAACGAGGAAGGUCUUCGGAUCGUAAAGUUCUGUUGAAGGGGAAAAAGAGCGGAGAGAGGAAAUGGUCUCCGAUUGAUAUUACCCUUCGAGGAAGUCACGGCUAACUACGUGCCAGCAGCCGCGGUAAUACGUAGGUGGCGAGCGUUAUCCGGAAUGAUUGGGCGUAAAGGGUGCGUAGGCGGCCUGCUAAGUCUGGAGUGAAAGGUACCGGCUCAACCGGUACAGGCUCUGGAAACU